UACAGAGGGGGCGAGCGUUGUUCGGAAUUACUGGGCGUAAAGGGCGCGUAGGCGGCCAACUAAGUCAGACGUGAAAUCCCUCGGCUCAACCGGGGAACUGCGUCUGAUACUGGAUGGCUUGAAUUCGGGAGAGGGAUGCGGAAUUCCAGGUGUAGCGGUGAAAUGCGUAGAUAUCUGGAGGAACACCAAUGGCGAAGGCAGCUCGCUGGGACGUGACUGACGCUGAGACGCGAAAGCGUGGGGAGCAAACAGG
rnacentral:rRNA from 1 species